ensembl:misc_RNA Y_RNA Y RNA
UGCUGGUCCAUGUGCAGUGGUGUUUACCACCAGUUGAUCACAGCCAGUUACAGAUUUAUUUGUUCCUUCUCCACUCCCACUGCGUCUCUUGACUAGCCAAAA